AUACGGAGGAGGCUAGCGUUGUUCGGAAUUACUGGGCGUAAAGCGCGCGUAGGCGGAUCGUUAAGUCAGGGGUGAAAGCCCGGAGCUCAACUCCGGAACUGCCCUUGAUACUGGCGAUCUCGAGUCCGGGAGAGGUGAGCGGAAUUCCUAGUGUAGAGGUGAAAUUCGUAGAUAUUAGGAGGAACACCAGUGGCGAAGGCGGCUCACUGGCCCGGUACUGACGCUGAGGUGCGAAAGCGUGGGGAGCGAACAGGAUUAGAAACCCUUGUAGUCC
rnacentral:rRNA from 1 species